GACGGAGGAGGCAAGCGUUAUCCGGAAUUAUUGGGCGUAAAGGGUACGUAGGCGGCUGGUCAAGUCUGGGGUCAAAAGCCACAGCUCAACUGUGGGAAGGCCCUGGAAACUGGCCGGCUAGAGUGAGGUAGGGGUUGCGGGAAUUCCCGGUGUAGCGGUGAAAUGCGUAGAGAUCGGGAAGAACACCUGAGGCGGAAGCGCGCAACUGGGCCUCAACUGACGCUGAGGUACGAAAGCUAGGGGAGCGUAUGGG
rnacentral:rRNA from 1 species